rnacentral:lncRNA from 10 species
UUACAGUUCUUCCCCCAAAUUACAAGGAAUGGAGGCUGGGAAACUACAUUUCUGAGACUCCUUCAUCAUCAGGAUGCCAGAUAAUAUUUUAAGUUUUUAUUGCUGCUGCAGUCAAAAUGUGGACUUUGAUUGACAUUUUCCAGGAAGAGAAUUGUGAGAAGAAUAAUUGGAUAUUCUGUAACAUUGUUCUAAGAACUGUUAGCUCUGUUGCAUUUUCUUGGUUUGACAUUUUGCAAAAUCCUACUGUCUUCAUUUGCAAGGUAGAAUGGAAAGUUUAUGGAGACUUGGGCAACUUUCCUAUGAAAUCUGCCAAUUAAAUAAACAAUUGAGAUUGGAA